rnacentral:rRNA from 1 species
AGUGAACGCUGGCGGUAGGCCUAACACAUGCAAGUCGAACGGCAGCACAGUAAGAGCUUGCUCUUACGGGUGGCGAGUGGCGGACGGGUGAGGAAUACAUCGGAAUCUACUUUUUCGUGGGGGAUAACGUAGGGAAACUUACGCUAAUACCGCAUACGACCUACGGGUGAAAGCAGGGGAUCUUCGGACCUUGCGCGAUUGAAUGAGCCGAUGUCGGAUUAGCUAGUUGGCGGGGUAAAGGCCCACCAAGGCGACGAUCCGUAGCUGGUCUGAGAGGAUGAUCGGCCACACUGGAACUGAGACACGGUCCAGACUCCUAAGGGAGGCAGCAGUGGGGAAUAUUGGACAAUGGGCGCAAGCCUGAUCCAGCCAUACCGCGAGGGUGAAGAAGGCCUUCGGGUUGUAAAGCCCUUUUGUUGGGAAAGAAAAGCAGCAGGUUAAUACCCCGCUGUUCUGACGGUACCCAAAGAAUAAGCACCGGCUAACUUCGUG